UACGUAGGUGGCAAGCGUUGUCCGGAUUUACUGGGCGUAAAGAGCGCGCAGGCGGUCGUUCAAGUCGCGUGUGAAAGCCCCCGGCUCAACUGGGGAGGGUCACGCGAUACUGAUCGACUCGAAGGCAGGAGAGGGUAGUGGAAUUCCCGGUGUAGUGGUGAAAUGCGCAGAUAUCAGGAGGAACACCCGUGGCGAAAGCGGCUCUCUGGGACGGUACUGACGCUGAGACGCGAAAGCGUGGGGAGCAAACAGG
rnacentral:rRNA from 1 species